rnacentral:rRNA from 1 species
GCCCACCGGAGCCUAUAAUGUCAAGUCGACGCGCAGCGAGAGGUGCUUGCACCUUUCAAGCGAGUGGCGAACGGGUGAGUAACACGUGGAUAACCUGCCUCAAGGCUGGGGAUAACAUUUGGAAACAGAUGCUAAUACCGAAUAAAACUUAGUAUCGCAUGAUAUCAAGUUAAAAGGCGCUACGGCGUCACCUAGAGAUGGAUCCGCGGUGCAUUAGUUAGUUGGUGGGGUAAAGGCUUACCAAGACGAUGAUGCAUAGCCGAGUUGAGAGACUGAUCGGCCACAUUGGGACUGAGACACGGCCCAAACUCCUACGGGAGGCUGCAGUAGGGAAUCUUCCACAAUGGGCGCAAGCCUGAUGGAGCAACGCCGCGUGUGUGAUGAAGGCUUUCGGGUCGUAAAGCACUGUUGUAUGGGAAGAAAUGCUAAAAUAGGGAAUGAUUUUAGUUUGACGGUACCAUACCAGAAAGGGACGGCUAAAUACGUGCCAGCAGCCGCGGUAAUACGUAUGUCCCGAGCGUUAUCCGGAUUUAUUGGGCGUAAAGCGAGCGCAGACGGUUGAUUAAGUCUGAUGUGAAAGCCCGGAGCUCAACUCCGGAAUGGCAUUGGAAACUGGUUAACUUGAGUGUUGUAGAGGUAAGUGGAACUCCAUGUGUAGCGGUGGAAUGCGUAGAUAUAUGGAAGAACACCAGUGGCGAAAGGCGGCUUACUGGACAACAACUGACGUUGAGGCUCGAAAGUGUGGGUAGCAAACAGGAUUAGAUACCCUGGUAGUCCACACCGUAAACGAUGAUACUAGUGUUAGGAGGUUUCCGCCUCUUAGUGCCGAAGCUAACGCAUUAAGUUAUUCCGCCUGGGGGAGUACGACCGCAUGUUGGAAGCCGAGCUCACUCCGAUUGCAUGGAACUGGUACUGAGUGUGUAGAGGUAAGUGGACUCCAUGUGUAGCGUGAAUGCGUAGAUAUAUGGAAGAACACCAGUGGCGAAGGCGGCUUACUGGACAACAACUGACGUUGAGGCUCGAAAGUGUGGGUAGCAAACAGGAUUAGAUACCUGGUAGUCCACACCGUAAACGAUGAAUACUAGGUGUUAGGAGGUUUCCGCCUCUUAGUGCCGAAGCUAACGCAUUAAGUAUUCCGCCUGGGGAGUACGACCGCAAGGUUGAAACUCAAAGGAAUUGACGGGGACCCGCACAAGCGGUGGAGCAUGUGGUUUAAUUCGAAGCAACGCGAAGAACCUUACCAGGUCUUGACAUCCUUUGAAGCUUUUAGAGAUAGAAGUGUUCUCUUCGGAGACAAAGUGACAGGUGGUGCAUGGUCGUCGUCAGCUCGUGUCGUGAGAUGUUGGGUUAAGUCCCGCAACGAGCGCAACCCUUAUUGUUAGUUGCCAGCAUUCAGUUGGGCACUCUAGCGAGACUGCCGGUGACAAACCGGAGGAAGGCGGGGACGACGUCAGAUCAUCAUGCCCCUUAUGACCUGGGCUUCACACGUGCUACAAUGGCGUAUACAACGAGUUGCCAACCUGCGAAGGUGAGCUAAUCUCUUAAAGUACGUCUCAGUUCGGACUGCAGUCUGCAACUCGACUGCACGAAGUCGGAAUCGCUAGUAAUCGCGGAUCAGCACGCCGCGGUGAAUACGUUCCCGGGUCUUGUACACACCGCCCGUCACACCAUGGGAGUUUGUAAUGCCCAAAGCCGGUGGCCUAACCUUCGGGAGGGAGCCGUCUAAGGCAGGACUAGAUGACUGGGGGAAGACUAUAGAGAGGAUGC